GCUCGGAUGGUCUAGUGGUAUGAUUCUCGCUUAGGGUGCGAGAGGUCCCAGGUUCAAAUCCUGGUUCGAGCC
rnacentral:tRNA from 1 species